AGUUUUUCAACAAAAUAAUGACGGGGCGUUUCCUGAAAGUAUGUACUGCGUGAGUCAUAACAGGUCUUGAGGUUCUUGCUUGAAUUUCCAGACAAUACCUUUCAUUCACAUUUAUCUUACUACCGGCAGAGAAGUGGACAUUACUUAUAAUAUUUAUGGACACGACGCGUCCUCGGUUUGCGGCUGGAGAAGGCAUGCAGCUUACCCGCUAAUAUACUCACCAAGAAGCCGCGCUUCAGUAACAAGGGGUGAUCCUCGAAGCUGCGGGUUGGGCCUGGAGCCAACAACUCCUCACCGCAAAAAAACAACGUGUUACGAUACAUUAAAAAUGGCUAUGGUCUACACAAUGAAAACAAAAAUACGGCUGAACGUAUUUAGCUGUAAAAUGAAGACGCGAUGUGAUCGUUUGCGACAGACCUCGGAAUGCAGCCGCGUACAGGGCGGACACGCGUGCACGUAAUGACCCGGCACAGACACGACAGUCAUGGCAAAAUUAUUUAUCUCUAUAUUUAUUUCAUUCAGUUCCGUCUUUAUCCUUUAUUUCAAUACUUGUUCCUUGGACCGCUCCUCAUUUAUCUUCCCUUUAAACAACCUCUUGAUUUUUUAUUUCUCGUUUCUUGAUUUCUACUGUUUUCUUUUUUUAUUCAUUAUAUCUUUAUUAUUUCCUUCUUUCUUGUCCUCUCUUUAACUCCUUGCUUGUUUAUUUUAUGUCUUAUUUAUUUCUUUAUGGCUUUCUCUUCAUUAACUUAAUCUUCAUUCUUAUUCAUUUUUCUCAUUGUUUCUAUGUCUAUUUUAAUUCUUCUUUCUCUUUUGCAUUCUUUUUUCUCUAGAAAUUCAUCUUAUUGUAUUUAUUUCCUUAUUUCUAUUUCGUCCCUUCUUCCUACAUACACUGUAUUCCUUAUUUCCAUCCUGUACUUCUGUUUUUAUUCUUUGCUUAUUUUAAAUUUCCUGUUACUUUUCUCACAUCGGCAACCGCCUUUAAUGAAAUUAAUACACCUAAAGAGAAGUUUCUUGAGUUAUUAUCAACAAAUCUCAGCUGAACAUAUUACGUAACUUGCAGCAAACGGAGAAAAGAUUAUGAGCGGUGGGAUGGAAAACAUCUGGAAAAAGGCGGUAAAAGCACAUUUCAACUUGAAACACUGAAACACAUUCUAAACCGACAUGGAACGAGCGUCCAUUUUCUGAGAAACUAUCCAGAGUUGGAAAAGCACAUCAGAACGGUUGUUCUGAAAAUGCGAAAUACGUAAUUUAUGACGGUGAGUAAUGAAUUGGAAAGGAUGUGGAAGGAAGCGUUCGUGGCAUAAUUGAAGGUAUUAUCCUGACAUUUACCUGGGGGACUUCGAAAAUCCAGUCAGGAUACCCGGUCUCCGGGAGGACAUUUGAAACCAGACCUCCCGAAUAUCAAGCAGAAGAGCUACCCACUACACUACGACGUUCAGUACAGCCAUCAAGCAGCAAAGACAGACAAAUGCGAAUAACAGUCCUUAGUUUUUCAAUCAUAAUGUUAAGUUUGAGCAGAUGUUUUAUUGAUUAAAAUGUUUUCAACGUU